UGGCUCAGAACGAACGCUGGCGGCGUACUUAACACAUGCAAGUCGUACGAGGAUCGUCGGUGUAGCAAUACAUCGGCGGUUCGAGUGGCGCACGGGUGAGUAACACGUGGGCAACCUGCCCUCGAGUUCGGGAUACCCUCUCGAAAGGGAGGCUAAUACCGGAUACGUUCUUCGGAUCGCAAGGUCUGGAGAGGAAAGGUAGCGUAAGCUGCCGCUCUUGGGGGAGCUCGCGGCCUAUCAGCUAGUUGGUGAGGUCAUGGCUCUCUUCCCGCGAUGACGGGAAGCUGGUCUGAGAAGUCGAUCAGCCGGG
rnacentral:rRNA from 1 species